rnacentral:lncRNA from 1 species
GAUGGCGAUGGUAGCCGUGGUGGGGGAGGAGUACUGCGCUGAGGGAGAGCGGGAGCUGACGGUGCGGAAGACGUCGGUCUUCUACCCGGGCGACGGCUUCGCUGCCUACGACCACCGGACGGGCGACCUCGUCUUCCGCGUCGACACCUACGCCCUCGCCGACCGCCGCCAGAUGAUGAAGCAGCUCGUCCUCAUGGAUCCCCACGGCGCCUCCAUCCUCACCGUCCGCCGCAAGGUAUCGGUAUCCUCUCUUCUGUUUCUUAUUAAUUUUUUCUUACAUGAUAAGCAUAUAAGCAAGUAAAAGUAGAGUAGCGGAGUGUGAUCGAUUUUUCUUUGUUUUUUUUUUUUGAUUGGAUGCAGUAGUGGCCCAGCCUGCACCAGCGGUGGGAGGGGUUCAAAGGAGAGCGAAUCGAAGGCCAGAAGCCUCUCUUCACCGUCAGGAGAUCCUCCAUCUUCGGCGGCGAUCGCAGCGUCGUGGNAAAAAAAAAAAAAAAAAAAAACAAGCCUGCAAGGUGAACGAGUAAAGGUCACCUUACUAGAGAGCAAAACAGUUUGCCAACUUUUAAUUAGCAGAUUAAAGAAUAGGUGCAAGUAGAUAUGAGAUGCUUAAACGGAAAUAAAAAACUUUUAGAAGUUCGAGUUUUAUCCUUUAAUAACUCUUAUUAUUAUAUUAUUUAUUUUUUUGAGAAAAAGAUAGCAAAUUAUCUGCUUCAUUCAUUCGAUAAAAUGAAAUAGGAAUACAUACUAGAAGCAGAUAAGGCUUUCGAAAAAAGAUAAAAAAUAAAUCGAAGAAAGAAGAAAAAAAGAGAGAGAGAGGGGUAGAGUGAUAAGGAGAAAGGAUCAGUGAACAACGGAUGGCUCAUUCUACGUGGUGGUCAAAAGUUUUUUUUUAAGAAAUAGGUAGCAAGCUACCUGCUUCAUUCAUUAAGUAAAAUGAACUGAGCAUACAAGUUGGAGGCAGCUUAGAUUUUCGAAAAGCCAACAAAAAAGUAAAAGUUAGGAAUUAAACAAAAAGAAAAUCAAGGUGAUCAAAAGUUUGACACGCAUAAUUAUUAUAAUAUCAUUUAUGCACAUAAUUUUUCAUUACUCUUAUAUAUAAUGUUUCUUUGGUCAAAUUAGAAAGAAAAAACCGCUGGCCUUCAGAUGUGUGGUGUGGAAGGAAAGGGUGAACGGGUGACCCAAACUGCUGACUUGGCUUACGACUAAAUGCGCCGUGCAUAAGCGAGCGAGUGGCUUCAGCGAGUUUGGUGGCACCGACCCAUCACAUCGUACAAACCCGGAGGAAUUAAAAAGCGUAUGUUCACAACUUUUACUUAUGAUUAUACAUACACACAUACAAUACGACCGUGACCGUGCUAUAAUUAAUUUUAUAUUUAUACAUUAAUUAUUGCGAUUCGAUCGUAAUGGAGAUGGGAUAAAUAAAAUAUCGUCGAUCGACGUUUCGUCUGUAGGCCCCCGGAACAGAAACCGGAACCCCACUCGUUGCCACACGUCCAGCGGCUCCCAUUUGCGCAAUUUAUAAUGUGUGGUGGCCUCGGCACGGCAUUCACCUGCAGUUCUCGCCUUUUAAAGCGCCUACUCUACUACUAACAUAGUUUAUAUAGGGUUCCUUUCAUUUUUUUUUUUUUUUCUUUUCUUUUCACUUUUAAAAGAGCAAGCAGCAUCUGGCUUUUGUUGGUGUUUUCAAGUGCGAGCAAGUUGGUAUUGGUAUUGGUAUUGUUUAGUAAUAGAUGGAGAUGGAGAUGGAGAUGGAGAUGGCGAUGGCGAUGGCGAUGGCGAUGGUAGCCGUGGUGGGGGAGGAGUACUGCGCUGAGGGAGAGCGGGAGCUGACGGUGCGGAAGACGUCGGUCUUCUACCCGGGCGACGGCUUCGCUGCCUACGACCACCGGACGGGCGACCUCGUCUUCCGCGUCGACACCUACGCCCUCGCCGACCGCCGCCAGAUGAUGAAGCAGCUCGUCCUCAUGGAUCCCCACGGCGCCUCCAUCCUCACCGUCCGCCGCAAGGUAUCGGUAUCCUCUCU